GCUCGGGGAGCGGCCAAGAGUGACCAAGGCGGCCGGCCGCAUCAUCACCACCUGGCUGGGUCACUGCGUCCCUCUCCCGCCCGGAGAGCGGCGGAGCGGGGAGGGGCUGGAGGAGGGGAGGGGGCGGGUUUCUCCUGGUAACCCUGCCCUUCCGCCCCGCUUGGGGAAGAAGAGCCAGAAGCGGGAGAAGUCACCGCGGGCCUCAGUUUCUCCCCUUUGAAAUGGAGGGGCGCUCUUUCCUGGUCCUGAAUUGAGGCUGUUCUGUUCCCUGAGAACCCCCGGAGCUGGAAAAGUCUCACUCUGUACUAGUUGACAGAGGCUGAAUGGAGAGAAAAAAAAACCAAGUGAGUGCACGAGAGAUACAAAUGGAUCGUUUGGUGGAGAAAUCCGUCUUCGUCACCGCCGCCAGCCUGGGAUUAAUGCGAUUGAAGGCUCCUCCAGGCUCCGCCAGGGAGACAGGCUCAGGAAAGCAAGAGAAAUUGGGGGUCUCCUUCCCAGUCACCCACCCCUGCCCUGCAACCCGAAGUUGCUAAUGUCUCCUGGGACCAGAGCAGAGGCUGAGGAGGAGGAAAUGCCCCGCGCUCCUGGCCGCCUCUUGCCAGCCUUGAUCGACACCGAAGACUCCGUAAUCUCUCCCUACCCCGAGGGGAGCAGCAGCGUUUGUGAAACAGAAUUUUACAAAAUGUUUUGACCCUGCUCUCCCCUCCCCCCCGCAUCCCUGCCUGGCACGGUGUCACCUAAUUAAAUCAGCCUUGGAGGGCGUCUCCGCUCCCGGCUAAUUGUACCUUGGGCCGCGCCCCCCCUCCCCCGCCACGCCCCAGGACUGCAGGGGCU